rnacentral:sRNA from 2 species
UUAAAAACAUAACACAUACAGGCAGCGGGAAUCAGGUGCAAUUCCUGAGCGAUGAGGUCACUGUGUGGGCAAUGCCUAAAGCCAGAUUACCUGCCUGUAUGCAGAAUGGGGCUUCCAUCCAAAGCGAAACAUUCUAC